GGCUAGCCAGCCCUGUGCUGCUCUCCCUGUCUGCUAGACCUCUGUGGGAUUUUUGAGGAAGAUGAAGGAACACUCCACAGCUGAGAGCUGAUCAGAGGAGAAGAUGGGCUGGUCCCAUGCUCUGAGUGCAGCCUGGCUGAGUCCUGUGGUUGAGAAACCAGGCAGCUGGUGAUGAAGAAGGAGGAGCCAGUAGCCACUGCAGGAUGGUCAAGCAGGGUGUGCUGAACUACAAUAAUGGCGUAAUUCUCCUGAUAUGGUAUCUGACAUGAGACUUAGCCACAUGCUCUGAAUACCAGGGAAAACUGAUGGGUUUUGAUCAUCUUCUGACAUUCUUCUGUAUCCUGAGGCUGGAAUCCACAGGAUAUCCUGCUGGCUGUAUCCAGAGCUGCAUCAAAAGAAUCGUGACAAAUGACCUACUCUACAGAAGCUUUCCUGCAGAACUGUUGUCAGGAGUGGUCCAACCCUUUUUCAGAGCAUCACAGCUUUUAAGUAAAUAAAGU